GGCUUCGUGGUCGAGUGGUAAGGAUACUUGCCUCUCACCCUAGAGUCCGCGGUUCGAUCCCCGCUCGAGGAGCUA